CAUUUACCUAUUGAUGACAGGAGUAGCUUGGAUAGACUUUUUCAAAUUCUUGAACAAAUUAAUGAAAAUGCAUAUCUAAUGGAUCUUCCAGGUAAGUAUCAUGUUCCUGCUAUUUUCAAUGCUACUAACCAUUUUCCCUUUUAUCUAGGCAGAGAUUCGAGGUCGAAUCCCCUUGAGGAGAGGGGGAAUGAUGGAAACCAAGAUGAGCCUAGUCAUAAAGAUCAUUUGCAACUUCUAGAUGGGCCAAGAAGAUCAAAGAGGCAAUACAAGGAUUGAUGCAAUCCACUUGGGACGAGUUUAGCAAGAGCUCAACAUUCAAGAUGGGCUUGAAGGAUGAAAA